AUUGAACGCUGGCGGCAGGCCUAACACAUGCAAGUCGAGCGGAUGAAGGGAGCUUGCUCCUGGAUUCAGCGGCGGACGGGCGAGUAAUGCCUAGGAAUCUGCCUGGUAGUUGGGGAUAACGUCCGGAAACGGGCGCUAAUACCGCAUACGUCCUGAGGGUGAACGUGGGGGAUCUUUGGACCUCACGCUAUCAGAUGAGCCUAGGUCGGAUUAGCUAGUUGGUGGGGUAAAGGCUUACCAAGGCGACGAUCCGUAACUGGUCUGAGAGGAUGAUCAGUCACACUGGAACUGAGACACGGUCCAGACUCCUACGGGAGGCAGCAGUGGGGAAUAUUGGACAAUGGGCGAAAGCCUGAUCCAGCCAUGCCGCGUGUGUGAAGAAGGUCUUCGGAUUGUAAAGCACUUUAAGUUGGGAGGAAGGGCAGUAAGUUAAUACCUUGCUGUUUUGACGUUACCAACAGAAUAAGCACCGGCUAACUUCGUG
rnacentral:rRNA from 1 species